GUCAUAAGCAUGAACAAUAUUUUUAGAGCUGAAAAUGACAGUUAUGGAGAUAUGCAGUAAAAAUAGGCAGUCUGUGAGUACAGGCAGCCACUGCGAAAGGAUCUUUACAAAGGAAGGAAUUUUAGAGCCUGGAGAUACUUCAGGUGUCAGUAUAAAUUUGAGCACACCUCUGCUCCAACAAGCAAGCGGAGAAGAUGCGUGAGAAAUUUAAUCCAAAGCAGAUUGCACCAACUCUUGCAAUGAUGGCAUCCAAAAAAAACUGCAGAGAUAAAGCACCGUUAAGAUUUGCUAGAAGUCAAAUAUAAGCAAGCAAUCACAAUAA